CUUGAGGGAGCCGAGGUACAGCGGCCGGUCGGCGGGGCGGUCCUUGCCGUACGCGGCGAUCAGCGCGUUCGCCUC
rnacentral:antisense_RNA from 1 species